UACGGGGGGGGGUAAGCGUUGUUCGGAAUUACUGGGCGUAAAGGGCUCGUAGGCGGCCAACUAAGUCAUACGUGAAAUCCCUCAGCUUAACUGGGGAACUGCGUGUGAUACUGGAUGGCUUGGAUUUGGGAGAGGGAUGCGGAAUUCCAGGUGUAGCGGUGAAAAUGUGUAGAUAUCUGGAGGAACACCGGUGGCGAAGGCGGCAUCCUGGACCAAUAUUGACGCUGAGGAGCGAAAAGCCAGGGGGAGCAAAACGGGG
rnacentral:rRNA from 1 species